rnacentral:rRNA from 1 species
AAGAGCUCGUAGGCGGUUUGUCGCGUCUGCCGUGAAAGUCCGGGGCUCAACUCCGGAUCUGCGGUGGGUACGGGCAGACUAGAGUGAUGUAGGGGAGACUGGAAUUCCUGGUGUAGCGGUGAAAUGCGCAGAUAUCAGGAGGAACACCGAUGGCGAAGGCAGGUCUCUGGGCAUUAACUGACGCUGAGGAGCGAAAGCAUGGGGAGCGAACAGGAUUAGAUACCCUGGUAGUCCAUGCCGUAAACGUUGGGCACUAGGUGUGGGGGACAUUCCACGUUUUCCGCGCCGUAGCUAACGCAUUAAGUGCCCCGCCUGGGGAGUACGGCCGCAAGGCUAAAAA